rnacentral:rRNA from 1 species
AGCGAACGCUGGCGGCAGGCUUAACACAUGCAAGUCGAGCGGGCAUCCUUGUGGUGUCAGCGGCAGACGGGUGAGUAACGCGUGGGAACGUGCCCUUCGGUUCGGAAUAACUCAGGGAAACUUGAGCUAAUACCGGAUACGUGCGAGAGCAGAAAGGUUUAUCUGCCGAAGGAUCGGCCCGCGUCUGAUUAGCUAGUUGGUGAGGUUACGGCUCACCAAGGCGACGAUCAGUAGCUGGUCUGAGAGGAUGAUCAGCCACACUGGGACUGAGACACGGCCCAGACUCCUACGGGAGGCAGCAGAGGGGAAUAUUGGACAGGGGGGGCAACCCUGAUCCAGCCAUGCCGCGUGAGUGAUGACGGCCUUAGGGUUGUAAAGCUCUUUUCUCCGGGACGAUAAUGACGGUACCGGAGGAAUAAGCCCCGGCUAACUUCGU